UGAAUGAGUGAGAGAGAGAGAGAGAGAGAGAGAGAGUGUGUACACACACAUCAAUGUAUGUAGGUUUGUAUUAUUGUUUUAAAUAUGGAAGAAAUAACUGUUGCCCCCAUGGAUGAUUAUAGGAUAUUUUGUAAAAAAUGAAUUGUACUAACACCCCAAUUCAUGAAAUAUACUAAGAAAUAUAAAGAAAAUGGCAUAG
rnacentral:lncRNA from 1 species